UUCUUCUGGAGCAGGACUGGGAAUAACUUCACAAAUGCACAACUGGACUGUGAAGGAAAAGGUGCCAGACUGACUGUAGUAAACAUGCAGAGAAAGAGACAAGUAUUAGAUAGAAAACCAGAUACUUGGAUCGCUUUGGAAGAUAGACAAACGGAAGGGAAAUAUAUUUGGCAUGAUGGAACAGAGCAAACUGCCCGCCAGAGAACGGACUUUUCUUGCUACGGGCAACCAGACAAUUGGGAUAACGCCGAAGACUGUUUACAUGCAUCAAACUGGUGUUCAGCUCCACGGAAAAUUAACGACGGUAGUUGUGCUGAAAGUUUUGAAUAUCUUUGUGAAAAAGUUGGAUAGAUUCAAAAUCAGCCUGACCACUUUAUCAAUCACUCUAUCCAGAACCAGAAAUCAUUGCGUAACAUGCUAAUAAAGAAUUAAUCUGUAAAAAUU
rnacentral:sRNA from 1 species